CUACGGGUGGCUCCAGUGGGGAAUAUUGCACAAUGGACGAAAGUCUGAUGCAGCAACGCCGCGUGGAGGAUGACACAUUUCGGUGCGUAAACUCCUUUUAUAUAAGAAGAUAAUGACGGUAUUAUAUGAAUAAGCACCGGCUAACUCCGUGCCAGCAGCCGCGGUAAUACGGAGGGUGCAAGCGUUACUCGGAAUCACUGGGCGUAAAGAGCGUGUAGGCGGAUAGAUAAGUUGGAAGUGAAAUCCUAUGGCUCAACCAUAGAACUGCUUCCAAAACUGUCUAUCUAGAAUAUGGGAGAGGUAGAUGGAAUUUCUGGUGUAGGGGUAAAAUCCGUAGAGAUCAGAAGGAAUACCGAUUGCGAAGGCGAUCUACUGGAACAUUAUUGACGCUGAGACGCGAAAGCGUGGGGAGCAAACAGGAUUAGAUACCCCCGUAGUC
rnacentral:rRNA from 1 species